rnacentral:rRNA from 1 species
UACAGAGGUGGCAAGCGUUGUUCGGAAUUACUGGGCGUAAAGGGCGCGUAGGCGGCUUGGUCAGUCCCGUGUGAAAUCCCUCGGCUCAACCGAGGAAUUGCGCUCAAAACUACCUGACUAGAGGAAGAUAGAGGUGAGCAGAACUGAUGGUUGAGCGGUGAAAUGCGUUGAUAUCAUCAGGAAUACCGGAGGCGAAGGCGGCUCACUGGGUCUUUUCUGACGCUGAGGAACGAAAGCUAGGGGAGCAAACGGG